ensembl:lncRNA
UACGCCUGAGUUUCCUGUCUAUAACGCAGGAGUGGGGUCUGCCCACUGUGACAUUUCCUCCUUUUAUAACAUGGCUGGGGCAGUCCUUCCAAGAGGGCUGACCGAGGUGUGGACCGCUCAGCCCGGCGGGGUCCACGGGGCUCUGCAGCGAGCCUGACCACGGGGUCCAGAGGGAGGACGGUGGCAGCCAGAGGGAUGGAGGGGAUACAGGGAAAAGCGGCGCUGAAAAGCCAAGUUCGAGUUUCCCAGGAUGUGACAGCCGACUUCUCCCAGAACAAGUGAUCCAAAGAGAAGCAAUCAAGACAGAAACCUCAGGGCCUUUUAUGACCCAGCCUCCAAAGCCACACCCACCACUGCCACUUUAUUUGCUUGAAGCGAGCACUGAGUCCGGCCCCCACCCAAGGCAAGGGGAACAGGUUCCAUCUCUUGGAGGGAGGAGUACUUGAAGGGAGUAUUUGUGGACAUAUUUUAAAUCCUCCAGAUAAUCUAACAUUCAGUAAGUACUUUAGACAUCAACAGAUUAUCACGUUAACAUAUUUAGGGCUGAGGAAUGUUUUCUCUGUGAGCUUGGAGCUUUUUGCCCGCCUCUGAGCAAUGACCACUGGGAUCAGGUAGAUAAAAUUAUGUCAAAGCAUUAUCACAAUCUAUUGUCUGUGUCCACAUUCACUCUAAUAAUAGCCGUAUUACCUGCCUCCCUCCCAAACCCACCCACAACCUACUCCAGUCCUUGCAGAAAACCCUUAUCCUUUCCUCUCUCAUGAGCAUAGGAAAUGCCAUAUCCCACAGCAGGGCUACCUUCCAACCAUAGCGGAAUGUUUUUGAUGUGGCCCCUGUCAAAAGGUGUGGAAAGCUCAAGGAAGCUCGUACUUACGAUGAGGACGUUCACAUCUCUUUUCAUCCACCCACUCCCUCCUCCUCAGCCCAGCCCUUGCUCACCACCAGCAGCGUCGGCUCACUCUGCACUGGCUGCAGACUGACCGCACCAAGGUGGGACCUCUUUGUCUGGCCCUAGGAGGUAAGUAAGGUGUGGGCUGGCUGGGCUGGCCUGGCCCAGACUAGGGUGGGCAUGUGAGGUCCCUAGGCUACAGAAUGUCUUUCAAGAGGUGCUCGCAUUCAGGUGCGAACCCUGUACUUGCAUGACCCUGAGAGCGAGCGCUCCUUAAAUGGAGUACCUAGGCCCUUGCUCACCUCACGCUGUUCGCAGCCCUGGAGCCAGUCCUGGGCACUGCCCUCUGUAGGUUAUCCUGAAUCCAAUCAGACAGUCAGACUUGCAGACCUGACUAGCCCGACAUGACUUCAGCUCCCCUAGAAGGAUACACAGAAGACGGUGUGCCAGCACCCUCUCGGCAGUCCAAGGGCUGUUCUUCUGUCCUCCCAUGUAACUGUCCCUGUGCAAGGAAAUGAAACCUGAAUGGAUGGGUGCCGAAGCCACCCUGGGUUAGAUGUUCCCUGUCCCAUAGGGGAACCAAGCUCUUGUGACAGUUCUUUCAAGUUAACAGGGUCAUCACAUAACCCAAGGAAACCCAAAGCUAUAGCUUCCUGCCAGGUAUUGGUGUCCAUUUAUGGUCCUCCCAGAGAAGAUGCAGGUCAUCAACCAGGGGCCAUUUUCACCGUGAGCAGCGUCCCAGGCAACACAGCUGACAUUGCACCUUUAUCAAGUCUCUAGGAGACCAGAGCCAGAAGCAGCUCAGCCCAAGGCCACGUCCAUCCUGCUGAGGAGUAAGGAGACUCCAUUUCUCCCCAAUCAUGCUCUCUAGCACUGCCACCUGCUGGAUCCCAGGUUACCCCUUCAGCCUCAUUUCUCCUGCUUCCCUGAGAGCUGGUAAUGCAAAGGCACAUGGGUGGUGGGUGGGGGUCUCUGCUGUGCAGUGUCUGAGCCUCAGAAGCUCAGGUCCAAAAAUUGGAGGGUUGGAUCAGCUUUCUGAAAGCUGAUGAGUCUCUGUUCAGAGCUGCUGUCCAGUCUUCCUAGGGACUGUGGGUGCUCUGAAAACAUUUGUUUAAUUAAGCAAUUAAUUAAUUGAUGAGCUCUUAGAAUGUACCUGCCCCCAGGCUGGGUAUUUUGUAUCAAUCAUGUCUGAAUCCCAUCACAUUCCAACAAAGUGGUUCCAGCAUUUUUCACACUGCAAGAUGGCAGAACUGAGUCAUGGCAGCUUAUGUGGAUUAUUCAUCAAGUGACAGAGCUGAGAUUUGAACUGAUAACGUCUGACUCUAAACAUCCACUCUGGGCCUUUGUGGCUUGAAGAUGCCACUUCCCUUGUGAGCAGCUCAUGCCUGGACCAGGAGAGCAGAUGAGCAGGCAUCCACAUACAAGUGGGCUGAUGAAAGGAUGUCCAACCAGAGAUGCUCCUCUGUCCCAUCCCCAUACACAUGUCCUUCCUUCCCCAGGCUGGAAAGGACGGAGCAGCUACUGGAGUUGACACCAUCUGCAUCCACCAUCCUGACCCUGUGGACCUCACGCUGGACAUGGAGUGGCUCUACUGAGAGCUGAGCCACCAGCCCCAUGGUGUCGCCCGGCUUGCACAGGGACUGUCUCUGUGGUGAGCACAUGGUAGGGACAGGGGUCUCCUCCUGCACCCCAGAUGGAUUCUUCUCUUGGUGCUCUGAGCUCUGGCCAUAGCAUACAUCCACGUCUGCUUCUAGAGUUCUCUCUCCUCACUCUUCUUUUCCUUGUGAGGUCCCUCUUCCCCACCGAGGCCUACGUCACAGAGAGAGAGAGAUGGAAAGUCAGAGAAAGGUUAUAGGAGGCACCGCCAACUGUCUGGAGGGACACAACCUCCUGAUGGCAUCUGUUCGGUCCAGCCCCUCCCUCCCUUCCUUAACCCUUUCAAACCUCCCGCCUCGCUCUUACCUGCUCUCUGCAGUCACACCAGACCAGCCUUGACCUGCCUCCCCAGUGGUUCUGUGACUUCUACACCCUCCUUGAGAACCCCAGAGGCUCCAGUCUCCUCCACCUCUACAGAAAGAGCCUUCUCUCCGUGUCUCCUUCCGUCCCACCUCCACAUCGCCAAGCUUAGCGAUGAGAAGGACCAGAGAGCACACACAGCGCCUGCAGGUGAGCUGGAUGACUGCUUCUGGAGGAUGCCCAAGUGAUGGAGCAGUCGCCUCGGUUCUCCUUCCUGUGACCUCUCAGCAUCCAGCACACCAGCCUCGGCUCGUUCAUGUGGUCACAGAGCUCCCAGAGGGCAAGCCCCAGCACACAGCACUUUUCCAGCCUCUGCUCACCACAUCAGUCCUUCCCAGGUGACCCGCCAGGACCAACUCGUGACCAUGUUGGCCUCAGGGGACCUGGAGGGGUCAGUCAGUGAGGCCAGAUCCAGUGGUACAUUCUGGAACAAUACCCAAAGCUUCACCUUCUGCUAGAAAGAAUGGAAAUAGUCAAGGGCAAACCCAGGCCUAAUUCCCAAGGGCUAAAGGGGUGGGCAGAGAAAGCAACAAUAAUAAAAACAGUGACAACAAAGCAAUGACAGCAGCCUUCACUGAUUGUCACAUAAUGAGGACCCUGCUUUACAGGUCUGACCUUCAGCCCCAGCAGGAACACACUGCUAUUUCUCCAUUUGGGAGAAGCACAGGCUGGUUCCUGGGAGCUCAGUGAUUUUCUGAGGCCACACAGCCAGCAGAGGCACAGGUCUCAACUCUAAGCCAUUCAAACUCUGGAGUCUGAGCUUCCGCCCUAACAUAGCUGUGUGGCCUUGGGGAAGCGACUUAAUCUCUCUGAAACUCAUUUUCAUCCUCUGUCAGUAGGGGGUAAGUAACAGGGCUGCCCUCCAUGGGUGGAACACAGAGAUCCUGGAUGGAAAGUGCUUAGCACAGAGUGUAGCAAGGAGUAAGCACCUACAAACACCAGCUGUUGUUAUUGCUGCUAUUUUUGUUGUCAUUAUUAUUAUCAGUACUAUUAAUAGAAUAAUAAAAUAAAAUUUCCCAUUCUGGGAGGAGACAUUCUGAGCUCCCGCACUAGAUAUGAAUACACUGGGCAACAGGGAUGUGCAUCCAGACUCUCCCCAUGACCCUUAAGUCUAGCCCAGGCAGGGACUCGGGAUGUGACUGCUCUCCCACCCUCACGGCAGUCUCUGGCCCUGCGCUGUCCGCUCACCCUUAACUUCACCAUCACAACCUGCGCUGCGUGGAGGACAUGCAGCCACGGCGCUCGGAGGAGUUCAACAAAAUAGAGAAGGUUUUGCAGCUCCUGGUUCUUCUCUUCCAAGUUUCCCCAGAAAUCAUUGAAAACAUUGUCGAAUGUCAAAACAAGAUAUGCCUGGAUUAUUAUUUUUUUCACCCAAGUUGGAUAGAGCGUGGGCUAAUUUUCAGUCUUCUGUUUCAGUGACAGUGACAUACUGUUCCAGCAGCUUUGUCUGCAGCUGCAGAACCAUUAUUUAGGGCAUCUCCACUCCGCACAAGCUCUUUUGUUCAAGCAGGAGAAGGCUCACCCCAGGGGCUGUCACAGCAGGUGCCAGCACUUCCACCACCUUGGCGUCUCUGAAGGCUUGUUGUUCCCCUGGGCUUCCGUGUGCUUGUAAACUUGGUCCCGAUGACGCUGACUAGGGAACCCUCACAUAGAUGGUUCUAGCUGUUCUGUCUCUCUGACCAAACUGAGUCAUCAGAAAACUCACAUUCAGCAAGAGCUGCAGUGGAUGCCUUUUUUUUAAGAGGCGAAGGACUUCUUCCUCCUGACCCCCCCCCCCCACACACACACAC